GUGUAUGGUGGCUGAUGAAAUGGGUCUAGGAAAGACAAUCCAGGCAAUUGGAAUUGCUUACUUCUAUAAAGAGGAAUGGCCUCUGUUAAUAGUGGUCCCUUCGUCUCUGAGGUACCCUUGGACAGAAGAAAUCGAAAAAUGGAUCCCAGAGCUAAGUCCAGAAGAAAUCAGUGUUAUUCAGAAUAAAACUGAUGUUAGGUAAGAACAACUGUUUAAUAUUUAAGGAGAAAAGUCUUCCUUGUGUGUACCUGGUAUAUGUUCAUGUUUUAGAAUGCAAUAUCACCUAUAGAUCAUAAUUUAGAAGUGGAGUAAGUAGUAUGGAGAAUU
rnacentral:sRNA from 1 species